UAGCGCCAUCAAGUGGAGUCAAUAUGCAGCCAUUAUAUUGUGUCAAGAGGAGGAGCUUAGUUUUACAAAUUAUGUGUCAUGAGAGGAACUGAGUGAAUGUUCCAAGAGAAGAUCAUUUAACAGAGAAGUCUCUGUCUCACACCCAGUCGCUAUGAUGCUGCUCUUUUCAGUCUUGUUUUUGUGCACUUAUAGGACAUAAUUUCUCCAGAUGUAGUGGAUGUUAUGGAGGGUAGUAGCAUUAAUCUCUCCUGUAGAUGCAUCAGCUCAUUAACCAACAGUCUGUUAUGGUACCUCCAGCACCCUGGAUCCUCUCCACAGUUCCUCAUACUGGACUACUCUGGGAUCAUAACCAACACUGAUAGUACAAAAUGGACCCUCAUACAUGAAGAAGAGAACAACCGUGUGGAUCUGGAGAUCUCCUCUGCUGAAGUGACAGACUCUGCUCUGUAAUACUGUGCACUGACGCCCACAGUGACAGGAAACCCAGAUACACAGUAGAAAAACUGAUCUUGACCAGUGGUGUAAAGGAAUUAAGUUAAAAUACUGUAAAGUACUACUUAAUGAGUUUUUGGGGAUUACUUUCUUUUUUUAUAUUUUUGACAAUACUUUUACUUCACUACAUUCAGAAUUUUGUAUUCUGAAUGUAAAUCCGAGAUACCAAAUGUGUGUAGAGGGUAGUUUUGCUGUCCUGCAACUACUCCUCAACAUACAGUGUUUUGUGGUAUAAACAGGGUCAGCUCCCCAAUUCCUCCUCUUCAUCCGCCAUGACUCCAUAUUCUCACCUCACUUUUAAACUUGAGAUCUCCUCUUGAGAUCUCCUCUGCUGAAGUGAGACUUUUCUCUGUACGACUGUACUGUAGAGCUCACAUUGACAUGAAACAGAGACACACUGUACAAAAACUAUACGACAGUCUGUACUGUACUGCUGUGAUAUGACAUCCACAGUGCCUCAAAACUUAUUGACUCAGCAGUGAAAUCAAUGUUAUGGAUUUACAACAUCUGCAGUCUUCUGUUAGUCCACAGUGCCAUCGUUCUCUAGUGAACGAAUGAAAUGUUUAUGAAACAUAUUUGAUUCUACAUUACCAGUAGGAGGAGCUAGAGUAUAAACCUCAGGAUUAGAUUAUGAAUCCUCAGGAUAAAACAUGAUACUACCAUGAAGAUCAUAGCCAGUUGAUGCUGUGCUUUUCAUCAGCAGCUGAUGCUUAUUCUACACAUCCUGCCAUCUACAAUGUUGUUCUGUUCACUAUUACUCUUCUUUGACUUGAAAGGUCUCAGUUCUGAACAGGUUUUAACACCCUACAGUGAUGUAGAAGUACCUUCAGAAAGGGACAGAGUUACUCUCUCUUGUAACUACACCUCUGGUGACACUCUUCAAUGGUAUCGACAACAUCCCAAUUCAGCACCAAAGUUACU